GGGCAAUUAGCUCAGUUGGAUAGAGCGUUGGCCUCCGGAGCCAAAGGCCACAGGUUCGAAUCCUGUAUUGCCCA
rfam:Desulfovibrio gigas DSM 1382 = ATCC 19364 genome.